AGAGAAUCUAUCUGAAACCUUUACACUAGCUAAAUUUUUUAGAACUAUGGCCUUGUUUAUGCGUACUCUUAAAUUGCUUUUGGCAUAUCUUAUGAUGAUGUUUUAUAUCAUCAAAUAGGCAAGUGUGGUUAGUUUGCUCUUUUUCAUAUCUAAUUGCUUUCUUUUUGUUACUUUGUCUCACUACUGUUGGAAUGACAUGAAACUAUAUU
rnacentral:misc_RNA from 1 species